rnacentral:sRNA from 1 species
GAUGAGAACCUCCGGGGGCAGAGGUUCGACCCGAGCGAAGCGAGAGAACGUUGCGCCAGCAACGGCCCGCAGGGCGAGCCACGCAGUGGCGAGUCAUC